CCGCCAUUUCGUGGACGCCGGGUGAGUGAGAGAGUUGGUUGGUGUUGGGCCGGAGGAAAGCGGGAAGACUCAUCGGAGCGUGUGGAUUUGAGCCGCCGCAUUUUUUAACCCUAGAUCUCGAAAUGCAUCGUGAUUCCUGUCCAUUGGACUGUAAGGUUUAUGUAGGCAAUCUUGGAAACAAUGGCAACAAGACGGAAUUGGAACGGGCUUUUGGCUACUAUGGACCACUCCGAAGUGUGUGGGUUGCUAGAAACCCACCCGGCUUUGCUUUUGUUGAAUUUGAAGAUCCCCGAGAUGCAGCUGAUGCAGUCCGAGAGCUAGAUGGAAGAACACUAUGUGGCUGCCGUGUAAGAGUGGAACUGUCGAAUGGUGAAAAAAGAAGUAGAAAUCGUGGCCCACCUCCCUCUUGGGGUCGUCGCCCUCGAGAUGAUUAUCGUAGGAGGAGUCCUCCACCUCGUCGCAGAGUCACCAUCAUGUCUCUUCUCACCACCCUCUGAAUCUGCAUUAGCCAGUCAACUAGCCCUUUCAGCGUCAUGUGACCAGCGCGCCCCAUUCAGCUUGGCUGGUGUCGUUUCACAUGACCCAGGCUGGCCAGUCGUCAGGUUGCACCGCCCUUUGGUUCCCGAGCAUGCUGUUUUCUCUCAGCCUUCUCUCCAACCUUAACCAAAUCGGCAGCAGCCACCUCGACCGCCCACACAUUCCUGGCCAAUCAGCUCAGCUGUUUAUUUACCAAAUGUCUUCACAACAACUACAGCAGCAGCCUUCGGCUAACAAAAAAGCAGGAAAAAUCCACAACACCCCCUUCGCCAACCAACUAAAUCCAACGCAACAUCUGGCAAAACCUUUUCAGCAAAUUCUUCCUGGCCGUCAGUCCGGCAGCCUCACCUCACCAUUUCUAGCUUGUUGAAACCCAAAACUAAUCUCCAAGAAGGAGAAGCUUCUCUCGCAGCCGGAGCAGGUCCCUUUCUAGAGAUAGGAGAAGAGAGAGAUCGCUGUCUCGGGAGAGAAAUCACAAGCCGUCCCGAUCCUUCUCUAGGUCUCGUAGUCGAUCUAGGUCAAAUGAAAGGAAAUAGAAGACAGUUUGCAAGAGAAGUGGUGUACAGGAAAUUACUUCAUUUGACAGGAGUAUGUACAGAAAAUUCAAGUUUUGUUUGAGACUUCAUAAGCUUGGUGCAUUUUUAAGAUGUUUUAGCUGUUCAAAUCUGUUUGUCUCUUGAAACAGUGACACAAAGGUGUAAUUCUCUAUGGUUUGAAAUGGAUCAUACGAGGCAUGUAAUACCAAGAAUUGUUACUUUACAAUGUUCCCUUAAGCAAAAUUGAAUUUGCUUUGAACUUUUAGUUAUGCACAGACUGAUAAUAAACCUCUAAACCUGCCCAGCGGAAGUGUGUUUUUUUUUAAAUUUAAAUACAGAAACAACUGGCAAAAAUUGAACUAAGAUUUACUUUUUUUUCCAUAGCUGGGAUAUAGGCUGCAGCUAUAGUUGAACAAGCAGUCUUUAAAAACUGCUGUGAAACACAGGCCAUCAGGGAAAACGAAAUGCUGCACUAUUAAAUUAGAGGUUUUUGAAAAAUCCAACUCUCAUCCUGGGCAGAGGUUGCCUAGUUGGUAUAGAAUGUUAAGUUUCAAGAAAGUUUACCUUUGCUUUAGGUCAUAAGUUCCUUAUUUGAUUGCUGUAUAUGGAUACAUGGCUGUUCGUGACAUUCUUUAUGUGCAAAUUUGUGAUUUCAAAAAUGUCCUGCCAGUUUAAGGGUACAUUGUAGAGCCGAACUUUGAGUUACUGUGCAAGAUUUUUUUUUCAUGCUGUCAUUUGUAAUAUGUUUUGUGAGAAUCCUUGGGAUUAAAGUUUUGGUUACAAAUUGUUCUUUAACUUGAAAGCCUGUUUUUCCUUGCAAACUCAAAUCUGUGAGCUUGGUACCAAGUCCAGGUAUAACAUUCCUAUUGGAAGCCAUACUUAUAUUUUCUUGUAAAGUGCUUUUGAAUUAAUAAAAUAUUAGCAUAAUUGUGUAUAGUCAGUUGAACCCACUGUUACCAUUGUUCUUAUCCCAUGGGAAGCAGUUGGUUACACGAUUCUUAUUUUAUAAGAAACAGCUGAGAGGCACUAUGGAUUAGUCUUCUGAAGUGAAGGAAAUAUAGAUGUCACCUAAGUGAUAGUUAACCCAUUUUUUUUUUUUUUAGGCAUAGAAGCCAGUUCAGGGUCCAUAAUAUUUAGUGACCAACAUUUUAAAGUAUAGCAGCAACCUGGUUCUUAAACACAAAGUAAGUUGCCCAUUAACAAAUGGCUUUUAUCUUUAGCAUGAAAACUUUCCACAGGUCUAAAAAUUGCUUCCAUUUUAUAAUUUGAGGUGUUGCAUGGGAAUUCUAAGCUGAUCCAUCAUGAUGUAAAAGUUCACAAUAUGGUUCAAAUGUAACAGUGCAGAAUUGAAUAUGGAGGCAUGCAUAACCUUCCUCUUAGAAAAUGGCAGGUGUUGUAAUUUCAAAUUUUUGUGCAAUUAGAUUAAAUCAUAAUGCAACAGUCUUGUGGCUUAGUUUCCUUAAAUAUGCUCUUAAGAUAGUUUUGGAUUAUGCGGUAUUGACUGUCUUAAAUAUGAAAGAUAAGUCAUUGCAUUAAGAGUUCAAGCUAAAUGGAUACAUUAAGAUACAGUUCCUAAACAAAUUAUUUAUUUCCACCUUUUACACAAAUCUUGGGAGAAUUGGUGUCAGGAAGGUUCAGCCUUAAAGUUAAGCAUGUUCAAGAAAGACACUUUUCAGACAGCCUGUUUAUUUACUGAGAGCUCUGGCAUUGGGCAUUUUGUCUUUAGUAUUCUCACAUAGCCUACAACCUGUUCCUGUUAGGAACAAGCCAAGAUAGCUAAGAAGUUACGGAAGCCAUGCAAUAUGUCAAUUACAUUGCUUUUUAUAAAUGGACAACUUAUGUGGGCAUUUUUGGGCAGUAUAUGACUUCCUUGCAGGCUCUUAAGUUGGAAGGGUUUCUGUAAAAAGGACAGUUACGGGUAUAAUAUGGCUAAGAGAAAUAAUACAGAACCUGAAAUAAAAGUAACUUCACCAGGGAGUUAUCCUGACUUAGGUGACAUACAGUCCCAGUUGGCAGUUACUUUAACCAGGAGCCCUAGCAUAACCUCAAGACUCUUAGAAACUUUAGAACAUGGAAAUUGUUAAAAGCUUUGAAUUGCACAUUUAGAUUGUGGCUAUUAGGAAUUUUUAAAGUUGUAAUUCCUAAAAUAACAGGUCACACUAACCGGUCUUGUCCAUAUUCAGGGUUGAGUGUAAAAAUGAAAGGAAUCACAAAACUGAACUUAGACCUGUGGUUUAAGGAUCAAGGUGUUCACUAGAAGUCACUGUUACUAAUACUUGAUGACAAUGUAAAGAAACAUUAAGGAUUAUAUUUGAUUGUUUUCAAAGACACUGGCUGGAUGUGGUGGCUCACACUUGUAAUUCCUAGCACUUUGGGAGGCUAGGGCGGGUGGGAGGAUCUCUUGAAGCCAGGAGUUGGAGACCAGUCUGCCCAACAUGGCAAGAUUCACAUUUCUAUUAAAAGGAAUAUUUAGUUUGAUCUCUGGUUCACAGUUCAUUGUGGGUUGCUUCUGACCUCCAUGUCUUAAGCAGAAAGUAGGGAAGUUGUAGUUUUACCAAGCACAGGUACCCUGUGUCUACCAUUUGAGUAUCUUAGAGAUCCUUACAAACGUGAUCCCGUCAGCGUCCAUGACACUCCCACCCUGUUAGACUGCUGUCAGUGGCUUUCACACAAACCCAUAUGUGGAUGGAAAAUCCAGGUUAUUACUACAUUCAUUUUAGUACAGUGCUGCCUAAUUAGAAAUUUUGUUGAAGAGGUAUUUCAGAAUAGAUACAGCCAGACUCCAGGCUCAUUGACUUAGUUUUUCAGGGUGACCUAACCCUGUGUAAUUUUGAGGAGUUCUACAUGAUAAAUACCCUUGGUGAUGUGAGAACCACUAGUUUAGUAUUUUGUCCAAGUAUGCUUUUUUUCAGAGUUCUGAAUGAGAUUUAGUUGUCAUACCUAGUUGGUGGUAAUUUCUUAGUUGUAUAUUUUUGUACUACCAGAUUGUUGCCUUCUGGUUUUCCAUCUUUUCGAGAAAGAUUUCUAGUUAAAGUUACUGAAGAAAAACUGGGUUGGAAGUACAUUUUUCUCUAAAUAAUCCAGUAGUGUUGAAUUUGAUUUUAUGUCCACUCUAAUUUUUUUCAUCCUGUUUUAUUAGGGGGAUUCAUCGGGUACCUGAAGAUAAUUCAGCUGUAGACCCCUUAAGGUUCUGAGACAAGGUCAUUGAAAUUUGUUUUGGCUGGGUGUGAUGGCUCAUGCCUGUAAUCCCGGUGCAUUGGGAGGUUGAGGCAGGUGGAUCACUUGUGGUCAGGAGUUGGAGACCAGCUUGGUCAACAUGGUGAAACCCCGUCUCUACUAACAGUACAAAAAUUAGCUGGGUGUGGUGGCAGGCGCCUAUAAUGCCAGCCACUUGGGAGGCUGAGGCAGGAGAAGUGCUUAAACCUGGUGGGUGGAGGUUGCCAUGAGCCGAGAUGUAGCCACUUCACUCCAGCCUGAGUGAAAGCAAAACUUCGUCUCCAAAAAAAAAAAAAAAGUUUGUUUUGGUAAGCCUAGUAUAAUUGAUUAGUUUUGUCCAUGCAACUUUCCCCUUGUUGGACUCUGUACUUAAUAAUACAGUAUUUAGAUUCUCA